rnacentral:lncRNA from 1 species
UUCACCUUCUGUGUGGGAAAUUACAUUGGCUAAGAUGUGUAUGCUUAAGCCAUUUUCAUAAUUUUAUACCAACGUUGCACUGUGGAAAGCAGAGACCCGGCCAAGAAGGAGAAUGCCAUCAGAAAUCCUUACUGUGCCACAUAUGGCUGCUAAGCUAUAUUUUGGAGAAUGCAAGAAUAGAAAUGUGUAUGACUUAAAAUAGUUGGAAACUUAAAC